GUGCUCACUUUGGCAGCACAUAUACUAAAAUUGGAACGAUACACAGAACAGUAGCAAAGCUGCUUGCAAGAAUGACACGCAGAUUCAUGAAGCCUUCCAUGUAUUU
rnacentral:snRNA from 1 species